rnacentral:rRNA from 1 species
UACGUAGGGUGCGAGCGUUAAUCGGAAUUACUGGGCGUAAAGCGUGCGCAGGCGGCGCGUUAAGACAGGUGUGAAAGCCCCGAGCUUAACUUGGGAAUUGCGCUUGUGACUGGCGAGCUGGAGUGUGGCAGAGGGAGGUGGAAUUCCACGUGUAGCAGUGAAAUGCGUAGAGAUGUGGAGGAACACCGAUGGCGAAGGCAGCCUCCUGGGCCAGCACUGACGCUCAUGCACGAAAGCUAGGGGAGCAAACGGG